UACGUAGGGUGCGAGCGUUGUCCGGAAUUAUUGGGCGUAAAGAGCUCGUAGGCGGCUUGUCACGUCUGCUGUGAAAAUCCCGGGGCUCAACCCCGGGCGUGCAGUGGAUACGGGGCUGGCUAGAGGCAGGCAAGGGAGGAACGAAUUCCCGGGUGUAGCGGUGAAAUGCGCAGAUAUCGGGAGGAACACCGGUGGCGAAGGCGGUUCUCUGGGCCUGUACUGACGCUGAGGAGCGAAAG
rnacentral:rRNA from 1 species